AGCAGCCGCGGUAAUUCCAGCUCCAAUAGCGUAUAUUAAAGUUGCUGCAGUUAAAAAGCUCGUAGUUGAAUUUCGGGAUCAAUAUGUUGGUCGUGCCUUGGUGCGUACUAGUUUAUUGAUUUCUCCCUUCUGACGAACUAUGAUGCCAUUAAUUUGGUGUCAUGGGGAAUCAGGACUGUUACUUUGAAAAAAUUAGAGUGUUUAAAGCAGGCUCACGCUUGAAUACAUUAGCAUGGAAUAAUAAAAUAGGACGUUUGAUUCUAUUUUGUUGGUUUCUAGGAUCGACGUAAUGAUUAAUAGGGAUAGUUGGGGGCAUUAGUAUUCAAUUGUCAGAGGUGAAAUUCUUGGAUUUAUUGAAGACUAACUACUGCGAAAGCAUUUGCCAAGGAUGUUUUCAUUAAUCAAGAACGAAAGUUAGGGGAUCGAAGACGAUCAGAUGCCGUCGUAGUCUUAACCAUAAACUAUGCCGACUAGGGAUCGGAUGAUGUUAAUUUUUAAUGA
rnacentral:rRNA from 1 species